GGGCUACUAGCUCAGGUGGUAGAGCAACGCCCUUUUAAGGCGUGGGUCACUGGUUCGAAUCCAGUGUAGCUCA
rnacentral:tRNA from 1 species